CACUUUAUUUAAUUAAAAGUUUCAUCCCAAUAGUUAAGCCCAAGAGUAAAGAAAAAACGAAAUCAUACAAUUUCUUCAACAGGAACAAAAUGAACGACGCCGCCGACAGACUGAGACGUCGUAGAGUUUGUUGCAUAAGGCAAAUGUGGGAUUUCAUUUUGGACAAGGAUAUGUUUGAUGCCAUAGUUUGAUGCUUUAGAUGAUGAGUAUGAAGGAAUUGUGGUAAGAGCUCAUGUCCUCAUGUAUUCGCCUCUGCACACAAUUGUUGAUAAAAUUGGAAUCAUAUAUGCUUCUUCCAGUCACUAUGUUGAUAAAGACUUUGGAAAUGGAGUCCUGAAGAUAAACAUGAUCACAAUGAUCGAUUACCAACUUGGUCUUCCGUGAAUAAAGAUGGUGUGCAGUUUGCUACGGGCACAACGACUUGGACAUGGGAGGGUGAUGGACUGAUGGUGGUGUGCAAGAAGUUUGGUGGCGAUUAGGGACAGUAGUGUUAGGAUCUUUAAGUCCUCUAUUACAACUACUCCUAUUUGCAUACUAAUCAUGUUUUCCUUACAGUCAUUAAAGAUUGAUUUAA